rnacentral:rRNA from 1 species
AGCUGAUCACUGGGUUUAAAGGGUGCGCAGGCGGUUUUGUAAGACAGAGGUGAAAUCCCCGGGCUCAACCUGGGAACUGCCUUUGUGACUGCAAAGCUGGAGUGCGGCAGAGGGGGAUGGAAUUCCGCGUGUAGCAGUGAAAUGCGUAGAUAUGCGGAGGAACACCGAUGGCGAAGGCAAUCCCCUGGGCCUGCACUGACGCUCAUGCACGAAAGCGUGGGGAGCAAACA